UACGGAGGGGACUAGCGUUGUUCGGAAUUACUGGGCGUAAAGCGCACGUAGGCGGAUUUGUAAGUCAGGGGUGAAAUCCCAAGGCUCAACCUCGGAACUGCCUUUGAUACUGCAAAUCUCGAGUCCGGAAGAGGUGAGUGGAAUUCCUAGUGUAGAGGUGAAAUUCGUAGAUAUUAGGAAGAACACCAGUGGCGAAGGCGGCUCACUGGUCCGGUACUGACGCUGAGGUGCGAAAGCGUGGGGAGCAAACAGG
rnacentral:rRNA from 1 species